GGAUUGAUGAUGACUGUCAUACAUACAAUCCUUGGAAAGUGGAAAAAAAUGAAUGGAAAAUCAAUACUGUAAUUGUCAUAGAACUGAGGUCC
ensembl:snoRNA SNORD116 Small nucleolar RNA SNORD116